rnacentral:rRNA from 1 species
CGAAAGCCGCAGCCAAACUUGCAAGUUCGAAGCGGAUGAAGGGGAGCUUGCUCCUGGAUUAGCGGCGGACGGGUGAGUAAUGCCUAGGAAUCUGCCUGGUAGUGGGGGACAACGUUUCGAAAGGAACGCUAAUACCGCAUACGUCCUACGGGAGAAAGCAGGGGACCUUCGGGCCUCGCGCUAUCAGAUGAGCCUAGGUCGGAUUAGCUAGUUGGUGAGGUAAUGGCUCACCAAGGCGACGAUCCGUAACUGGUCUGAGAGGAUGAUCAGUCACACUGGAACUGAGACACGGUCCAGACUCCUACGGGAGGCAGCAGUGGGGAAUAUUGGACAAUGGGCGAAAGCCUGAUCCAGCCAUGCCGCGUGUGUGAAGAAGGUCUUCGGAUUGUAAAGCACUUUAAGUUGGGAGGAAGGGUUGUAGAUUAAUACUCUGCAAUUUUGACGUUACCGACAGAAUAAGCACCGGCUAACUCUGUGCCAGCAGCCGCGGUAAUACAGAGGGUGCAAGCGUUAAUCGGAUUACUGGGCGUAAGCGCGCGUAGGUGGUUCGUUAGUUGGAUGUGAAUCCCCGGGCUCACCUGGGAACUGCAUCCAAACUGGCGAGCUAGAGUAUGGUAGAGGGUGGUGGAAUCUCCUGUGUAGCGGUGGAAUGCGUAGAUAUAGGAAGGAACACCAGUGGCGAAGGCGACCACCUGGACUGAUACUGACACUGAGGUGCGAAAGCGUGGGGACAACAGAACUCCUCCUCGCGAAAGUAAUA